AUCUGUCUGAAUCCUUGGAAUCCCACUGCACUCCUUACUGGUUCCAGCCAAGUGUGCAGUCUCAAUGGGGCUUGCCUAAGGCUUCCUAUCAGUUCACUACCAGGUAAGUUCACAACCACAUUAUGCAGUUUAAAUGAGAUUGUAUGUAAAAACAAAGGCCUUUCCCUGGGUAACAUUUACAACAUUACUAAGCAGUCUUUAUCAUAUGCAUGAACUACUCAUUCCUUGCUUCUUAUAAAUGUUUUUCUUCUAGAUAAGAAUUGAAGAACAAUUCUGCAUGUGAUGUCAUUGGCUUGGUAACUUUUGUGGGUCGGGUGGAGAGAGUCAAGAGUAAGGGGUCCGCAGGUCAGAGGUGUUCGUUAGAUUUGGACUAGUCAUUUAUUCUGAAAAUGUAACACAAAUACUCAUGAUUUGUUUCCAUCUGUUGCAGGCCCAGAAAAAUACUGGACUUAGUGCUGGAUGAGAAAGUGUUAAGAGCAAGACUCACUGCCUUACCUCACCAGCAGCUGCAAGACACAUAUAUUUAAUACCGGGUAUCACAAGGGCCAGCCAUACCUGUCAGACCCCAGGGUGAAGCUUCGACCAGUGGACCAAGACUGAAGGACAGCAUUAUGCUGAAGAAGACUGUUGUUGGUGGCCAUUAUUGCUUCCCUCACACCCCUCAGAUAUUCACACAGUCAGUGG